rnacentral:lncRNA from 1 species
AUGCUAAAAAAUUCAUUUUAUUGUGAUGAGUGAUUUGACCAAAGAUCAAAAACAUUUCAAACAUAUUUUAAAAUGGAUUUGAAAUAGGUUUUGAAAUAAAAGAAGAAGAAAAAAAAGGAAAUAAGACCUCACAUCCCUCCUGAAUCUCGGCCCAAGCUAGCCGGCCCUCUCCCCCUCGCCGCGGCCCAGCUUCCCCCUUCUCCAUCUGUGUGCAGCACCAGCCCGCC